rnacentral:rRNA from 1 species
UACGUAGGUGGCAAGCGUUGUCCGGAUUUAUUGGGUUUAAAGGGUGCGUAGGCGGUUCUCUAAGUCAGUUGUGAAAUACUUCAGCUUAACUGGAGAGGUGCAAUUGAUACUGGAGAACUUGAGUACUGAUGAGGUAGGCGGAAUGGACGGUGUAGCAGUGAAAUGCUUAGAUAUCGUCAAGAACACCGAUAGCGAAGGCAGCUUACUGGGCUGUAACUGACGCUGAUGCACGAAAGUGUGGGGAUCAAACAGG